CACCUGCAUGUCUAGUAUAGCAUCUAUACUGUGAAACUGCGAAUGGCUCAUUAAAUCAGUUAUCGUUUAUUUGAUAGUACCUUACUACUUGGAUAACCGUGGUAAUUCUAGAGCUAAUACAUGCUAAAAACCCCGACUUCGGGAGGGGUGUAUUUAUUAGAUAAAAAACCAAUGCCCUUCGGGGCUCCUUGGUGAAUCAUGAUAACUUAACGAAUCGCAUGGCCUUGCGCCGGCGAUGGUUCAUUCAAAUUUCUGCCCUAUCAACUUUCGAUGGUAGGAUAGUGGCCUACCAUGGUAUCAACGGGUAACGGGGAAUUAGGGUUCUAUUCCGGAGAGGGAGCCUGAGAAACGGCUACCACAUCCAAGGAAGGCAGCAGGCGCGCAAAUUACCCAAUCCCGACACGGGGAGGUAGUGACAAUAAAUACUGAUACAGGGCUCUUUUGGGUCUUGUAAUUGGAAUGAGUACAAUUUAAAUACCUUAACGAGGAACAAUUGGAGGGCAAGUCUGGUGCCAGCAGCCGCGGUAAUUCCAGCUCCAAUAGCGUAUAUUAAAGUUGUUGCAGUUAAAAAGCUCGUAGUUGAACCUUGGGCCUGGCUGGCCGGUCUGCCUCACCGCAUGUACUGGUUCGGCCGGGCCUUUCCUCCUGGGGAUCCGCAUGCCCUUCACUGGGUGUGUUGGGGAACCAGGACUUUUACUUUGAAAAAAUUAGAGUGUUCAAAGCAGGCCUUUGCUCGAAUACAUUAGCAUGGAAUAAUAGAAUAGGACGUGCGGUCCUAUUUUGUUGGUUUCUAGGACCGCCGUAAUGAUUAAUAGGGAUAGUCGGGGGCAUCAGUAUUCAGUUGUCAGA
rnacentral:rRNA from 1 species